GGACAUGCACAGGAAGCGUCAGGAGAAGGACCUGUCUGAGCUCCAGUCUCUGAGUCUCACUUCAUCCGGAGGAAGAGGAGCUCAUCUCCCUCGUAAACAGGAUUAUGAACCAGCUUCUCACUCGGGUCCAGGAUCACCAAAGGUUUCCCGUGUGUAUCAGCAAUGGGCCACCACCCUACGGACAUCCAGCCAACUUGACAACUGUGGGAAGCGUUGGAGUCAACAUGAGCCGGCAUCCCUGUGGAACGCUUUCGACACCUUGUACAGUCCAAGCCCUGACAAAUUGAAGCUGUUCUGAGGGUAAGAGGGGAGUAACAAAACAAGUGUCCCUGUUUUAUGGGUGUUAACUAAAUUCACAUACUACUAUACCACAUUUUCAUUUGCCAGUGAGAGACACCAAGAAAAACAAAUAUCACAUGGGCCAUGGAUAAUUCAGUAGUUGUAAACACAUUGUGUUUAGGCAUGGUCAGGAGUAAACUAAUCAUGAGACUGUGUGUAGCAUACAUUUACAUGUUAGUUGAAAAAUACAACAAAUCACACAAACUGACCAAAAACGUAUGUGUGAAAGUGGUAU